GCUCCCUUCGCCGCGCCUCGCGUGCUAGCGGUGCCCUUGUGAGCCACUGCGUUCUCCAAGGCCAGAACGGGACAGUUGACGAUGGUCGUACUUCUCCAUGUUCUGAGACCAGUUUAAACAAAAACAAAAACCAGACAACAACCUUGCAAGGGAAAGAAUUCAGAGUAAAUAAACAGUCUUUUUCUGGGAAGUAAAAUAUUUCCCUAAGAUGGAGAAAUUGAGAUGAGAGCUCAUCCACAAGAUUACCCAUCAAUGAGCACCAAUAGCAACCAAAUCCACUAGAAGACUGGGAGCUUUUAAGUCAAGAAACUUACAUCAGUAUCAUCAUUCCAAGAAGCGGUAUCCAAGCUGUUUUAUCGAAAGUGCGCAUGGGAGGCAGAUUUUGACUCCAAAAGUCCAGGAUGGGGCCUGAGGUUCUGCAUGUCUAACAAUUUCCCAGCUGAUGCCAAAGCUGCUGAUCAGAGUCUACACCUUAAGAAAUAAGACUCUGAGAAUUUAUAGAAACAAACAUUAGAAGGCAGGAAUGUGGAGAGAAGAAAGCUACCUGACAAGGGAAUCUCAGGAUACAAGGAAAACACCAAGGAUGUGAGAAUGUCUUCGCUGCAUUAUUAUUUUUCAGCAUUGCCUCUGCUGACUUCAUGGGAGGAAUGGUGUUUCUUCUUCUCUCCCAUGUCAUGGAAGACACUCCUGAUGGCAUGUCUGUAGGUCUGUAGGAAAGAAUAAUCACCUCAGUAGCUUAGUGUGUGUAUGUGUGUGUGUGUGUCUGACACACUGUAGGUACAUAAUAAAGAUUUGAAAAUAUGAGUUUUUUUUAA
rnacentral:lncRNA from 1 species